rnacentral:pre_miRNA from 1 species
UUGCGGGGGGCUCACAUCAUGUGUUCUACUACUACAUGAUGCGACUCCCCCGUAACC